UCACCCCCAACUCCUACCGCAUGGCGGUCUGCCUCUACAUCCUCUAUGACAUCCACCAUGGGGUGAGGAUGUCUGCCUUGGAGUUGGGCUGGUUCUUCCAACUAAAACUUACCGGCAGGACCCCCGGUUUCUUCUACCUCACUGCCUGGAACACCCAUCAUAAGAAGGGCAUCAAGGGCAACCGCUAGUCGAUGUCGGACUGGCAGAAGCUCUUCCUUUACUGCUAUGACUGCCCAGUCUACAGGAAGGACUUCAAUCUCUCCC
rnacentral:lncRNA from 1 species